GAAUAAUGUUCCAUUUUACUGGCAAUUAUUAUAAUAAUCAACCUUUUCAAAAUCAAGACUUUUAGUAGGUGAAUAACAGGCUAAUGCAGGAAGAGUCUCGAUGCACUGACCCCUCAGGGAAGAGAUGAGAAGGCUGAGAUUCCCCUACAAGCUGUCCCAGCCCUCUAAAAGCUUUUCUUCCUCUUAAUGAAGGACACUGCGGUAAAACCUCAGCAGAGUAAGUCUGCGCGUGCCAGCAUCAUGUGAGCCAGCAAACAGGAUGAAAAUAAGAGAAAAAGAGGCAUUGAAAAUGUCGACAAGGGUUUGAGGGAGUCCUGAGUGGGAGCGCAAGUUAGUGGUGUAUAAAGCCACUUUAGCGCAUCAGCACCAUGGAGAGCACCAGCGCGCGCCCUGCCAACUGCGCGCGCACUCCCACAACUCUUUAUUAGAACCGGUUAUGACGCGUCAAAACUAAUGCACACACACACACACACACACUGCGUUACGAUUCAGUAUAAACAUCUUGCCAGGACCAAGUAUAGGGGAGCUCACUUUAUGCCUGUAUUUAGGUUGGUAGGCCUUCUGUUACACAGCUUGUUAAUCUCUAGAACACUGCUAAUUUAUCAGCACGCACACACUCAGUGCCUUUGAAAUCGUAUACGAUAUAAUCCCUUUUCCUUUUUCACUUAUGUCACUAUUACCUUAUAUAAAACAAGAAGAUAGUGAACUCGCUAGCCGCAUCAGUAUCGUGAACGUAAUAGUGGCAUAAGUGAAAAAGGUAAAGGGACUGAGGGACUGAGGGACUUACAAAGGCACUGAUCAUGUGUAUGCGUGCUGAUAAAUUAGCAGUGUUCUGUGUGUGUGGGUGUAUAUAUAUAUAUAACUAUUGUAGCCUAAAUAUAAUGCAGUCGAUGGUCAUUCGAAGUAUAUUUUAUCACACAGGGUUAGGCGUGAUUUUGAAUUAAAAUACCGCUUCGUUGCUUUUUUUCUAUUAAUUUAUAUAUUUAAAUUGCGUCCCUAUGUAUAGGGGGAAGGUUGUUGAUAAAUCCAUGCUAUAUAUCGUUUAGCAGUAUAUAGUCUAACCUCUUCAUUUUCUCAACGCAAACGCCUUAGAUGUUGUCUAUAGGUCGUAUACUGGAUUUUGAAAGGGUAACGGUACCCUUUCAAAAUUUGAUGAUUAGUCGUGUUUCAGGUGUACUGAUCUCCAUGGGUGGGCUCAUUACAGGGACAUAAUUUAUUGUUUAGCAAUGUUUCAUAAAGGGAGCCCUAAUUUAGUACAUAAAAAAAACUUUCUUCCUGUGCAUUCAAAUUGCUGUUUAAGGUGUUUUUAGUUUGAUGGAUUUAUUACAUCCUGACCUGUACAUGGAGAUGGAGUACAUGGAGCACUUUUAAUGCAGUUUACACAGCACGUCUGUACUUAGUUUUAGCUAAAAUGUUGUAUGGGUAAAUAUAGAUUAUGUGUAGCGUAUAUAGGUUUAAAGGUUUGUAAAUGCGCAUUGACUGCAAAAUAAGAUGUCUAUAUAAAGCCCUUGCUAAAAUGUAACAACUGAUUUCGACGUAUUAUUGAAAUAGUAUUUCAAUACUAAAUGUAAGAAUGUCUAAAGUUUAUUAGGCUAACUAGCAGAUUGAAUAGCCGCUAAUUGACUUACUGUAUACAUUCAUUUAUUCCUAUAAAAACUGAUACGGCUCGUGCGCAAUAUGGGUUACCAAGCGACCAACGGCGCUCGCCUGCCACGUGCGUUCAGUCUUUAGAUCACACGCACGCAGAUUGGAGCGCCGCUCUGGCUCACGUGACCUCAUAUAGCGUCCGUGUCGGCGCGCGGCAGGAAAAGCGCUGGGACAGCGGCAUGCAGGCUACAGGUUCAGGUUUAGUUCGCAAAAUAGACUAAAUCAUCGAAACGCGUGUGAAUCCGCGCCAUGUGGGUCAGGGAAACACCAAGGAGGAAAUAAUGCCGCUGAGAAUUAAGAUGUAUUCAUUUAGGGAGACAUUUUUUUCUUUCUUUUCAAUUUAAUGUAAUCCAGUCAUAAUUUUUUCCGUUCUUAUCUGUCACAGUGUUUGUGUAAAGUUAAAAUAUUCACAUGUAACAGAAAAAAAACUUGUAAACAUUAAGCGGAUAAGAUUAAGCCUUUUGAAACAAGUGACUGUUCUAACUUUUCUGUGAAAGUAUUAUUUUCCAAUUUUUUUUUUUUUUAUCCUGAAAUUUGAUUGACAUUAUUUUCCAGGGCUGAACUAAUUUCACCUUUCCACUAAUAAUCGCUGAUUUCAACCUGCCUUUUGAUCCUGUCUUAGAAAAUGUGCGCUGGGAAUUUAAUCAUAACAACACACUUUAGACACUUCUUUAAGUUCAGAUGUUACAGAAAUGCUAUGCGAUUUCUAUACAGUCUAUUGUAAUUACCCAGAAAAAACUAAAUGGUUUAUAUGGUUUAUUUUGCCGAUCGUUGCAUGUAGAUUUCAUUUCUCUGGCUAAAAUUUACGGUGUUCACAAAAAUUACCCCCCUCCUCUUCUCCCUAAUAAUUUACAUUAAUUCCCAGUGUAAUUUAUGCUUCUGUAGCACACUCGUGAAAAGGAGUGGGAGGCUGAGAGGCAAAGCUUGAUAUAGAUAUCAGCAAAUAAACGACCCGCUUUACUUAAAUUCACUUCAAAUUAUACUGCGUUCAGUCGCAAUGAUUUUUAUUUACGUUUUUUAAUUAUUGUUAUAUUAUUUUUCUUAUGUCAUUUCUCAAAAUCCGCAUUGUUAAGUCUACGCAGCAUGCGCACUGAGAAAACUUAAUUGAAAGGUGUACAAUUGGCUAAGAUAUGGAAUGAACACAAAAACCUGCAAGUGAAUGUUAAAAGGAAAAGCGACUUACAGAAAUAUUAACUUAUAACAUCUAUGCAUUUCAAUGUAGCUUUGAUAUGAAGUCGCACAUUAUUUUGUACUGUCCUUGUAUAUGGUCGCAGAUGUUUUUAAUCUAGACUUUCUCAUGUAGCCUAGAUUGUGGAAAUACGAAAAUGCGCAAUUUAUAAUGUAGAUGAAUUUUCCAUGCAGCUACAUUAAAAAAAGAAAAAAAAUCUAAAUUGCAGGCACAUCUUCUGGGCCAUCUUUCUGUGCUAAAGAGCACACUGGGCUAAAACUGUAUCUCAGCUAGGAUUCAAAUCAGAGCCAGUCUCUGAUAGAUCAGCUUUCUCAGCUUGUCUCGCCUCCGGCUGAUUUUACUACACUGAUCUUUUUUUAAACAGUCACAUUUACAUGUUAAUGUCCUUCAGUGGAGGCUGCCUUAAACAUCCUCCUCUGGGAGAACAAAUAAAUAAAUAAAUAAAUAAAUCACAGAAAGAAAGACACAUGCCGGCGUGACGAGGACGCGUUUAAACAUCUAUUUGUUUUACGUGCAAAUAAUCGUCAAUUACAUUUGACAAAAGGGCAAACGCAAAACCUGUUUUUAAUCAACAAUUUCUUCUAAAUACGCCAAAAAUUUUUUUAGUUAUUUAUCUGAAUAAGCAAAUUCAGGAAACAUAAUUAACUACACAAAACAUAAUGAAAUAAAAUCGAACUUUCAUUAUGUGUCUUAUUUUAUAUUGCAUUCACACUGUCAGUUAAUUCAAUCAUUCUUGGAGCCAAUAAUCCGACGCUAUAAGGUUUUUAUCAUGUUAAGCCAAAAGAAUAAUAAUUAGGACAAAAACAAUGCAGCCGAAUUGUUUACCCCGUGCGACAACCCCAGUGGCAUCACUUUGAUUACGUCGCAUACACUAACAACAGACAAAGCUCUAAAGAGUGCGUAAUGUCAGAUUUUGAAGUCUAGAAGUGUGGACAUCAGUGUGUGCUGACCUCUAUUCAGUUUGAGGUCUAUCUGGGCAUGUUUUACACCAGGGCGCUUUGCUGGGAGAUCAGAGCUGCGAAACAGGUGCACACACACACACACACACACACACACACUUCUCCCAGGAGACUUCUGGACAAUUGUUCUCUUUAAUAAAUAUUGGCCCGAGGGGACACUGCUUAGACGCACAGCACUUUGAUUUCAAUAGCCGUUGUAUUAUACUAUAUAUUUAGGAUGUGUUGUAUAUAUUCACUCAAGCUGCUGCUUAUAGAUUUUCUUAUAGAUCUUUUGUGUUUAUUAUUUAGUUUUUAUCCCCCUCCCAGAACUGCUUUACCACUUUUUUUU